CGUAGGGUGCGAGCGUUAAUCGGAAUUACUGGGUGUAAAGCGUGCGCAGGCGGUUUAGUAAGACAGGCGUGAAAUCCCCGGGCUCAACCUGGGAACUGCGCUUGUGUCUGCUAAGCUAGAGUACGGCAGAGGGGGGUGGAAUUCCACGUGUAGCAGUGAAAUGCGUAGAGAUGUGGAGGAACACCAAUGGCGAAGGCAGCCCCCUGGGUCGAUACUGACGCUCAUGCACGAAAGCGUGGGUAGCAAACAGGAUUAGAUACCCUGGUAGUCCACGCCCUAAACGAUGUCAACUAGGUGUUGGGAGGGUAAAACCUUUUAGUACCGGAGCUAACGCGUGAAGUUGACCGCCUGGGGAGUACGGCCGCAAGGUUA
rnacentral:rRNA from 1 species